UAAUAGCCUGAUCUCUGCAAGUUUCUAUAUGUCCCACGCUCUUGAACGUACCAUAGCCGUUCCGAUGCUAUUGAAUGCACCACACGUGUGUGAAACGCCGUGCUGUUAUGCUAGUUCUCUGGUGGAUAUACUGUGAUCUCCUUUGCCUUUUCUCAACAUUCACCUCUACCUCCCUGGUUUAUUGCUGUGUGUAAAUGACAUAAAGUGAGAUUAACGACAUUAUACUGUCUGACUGGAUGCUAACAUUGUGUACUGUUUAGAUGUGCAUAAGUUAAUGCUAUCCCUGUUGUUGUUAUUAGCGUUGUUAAAGCUAAUAAGCUAAGUCACGUUGUCUGUAUGCAUCGUGUGAGGUGAUUUGUGUAUGUUAUAUGAUUCUUGUGAUAUACUUGAGUACCGAAUACAGUCCUUUGCUACCUUAGUUACCUUAUUAUGUUUGUGUAUAUGCAUUUGUGUUUAUGUAUGGUGUUCGCUGUACUGAUUGUUACUUUGUAUUAUUACAGACCACAGCCAAAUAAAUCAACCAAAACAGGA